AUUGAACGCUGGCGGCAGGCCUAACACAUGCAAGUCGAACGGUAACAGGAAGAAGCUUGCUUCUUUGCUGACGAGUGGCGGACGGGUGAGUAAUGUCUGGGAAACUGCCUGAUGGAGGGGGAUAACUACUGGAAACGGUAGCUAAUACCGCAUAACGUCGCAAGACCAAAGAGGGGGACCUUCGGGCCUCUUGCCAUCGGAUGUGCCCAGAUGGGAUUAGCUAGUAGGUGGGGUAACGGCUCACCUAGGCGACGAUCCCUAGCUGGUCUGAGAGGAUGACCAGCCACCCUGGAACUGAGCCACGGUCCAGACUCCUACGGGAGGCAGCAGUGGGGAAUAUUGCACAAUGGCGCAAGCCUGAUGCAGCCAUGCCGCGUGUAUGAAGAAGGCCUUCGGGUUGUAAAGUACUUUCAGCGGGGAGGAAGGGAGUAAAGUUAAUACCUUUGCUCAUUGACGUUACCCGCAGAAGAAGCACCGGCUAACUCCGUG
rnacentral:rRNA from 1 species